GAUAAACGCUGGCGGCGCACAUAAGACAUGCAAGUCGAACGGACUUAACCGAGAUGUUUACAUUUUGGAGCGGUUAGUGGCGGACUGGUGAGUAACACGUAAGCAACCUGCCUAUUAGAGGGGAAUAACAGUGAGAAAUCAUUGCUAAUACCGCAUAUGCCAUAAUUACCACAUGGUGAUAGUGGGAAAGGAGAAAUCCGCUGAUAGAUGGGCUUGCGUCUGAUUAGAUAGUUGGUGGGGUAACGGCCUACCAAGUCGACGAUCAGUAGCCGAACUGAGAGGUUGAACGGCCACAUUGGGACUGAGAUACGGCCCAG
rnacentral:rRNA from 1 species